GCACCUGUAGCUCAACUGGAUAGAGCAUCGGUUUUCUAAACCGACGGUUUCGUGUUCGAGUCACGACAGGUGUA
rnacentral:tRNA from 1 species